AAUCGGGUAAGCUAAGCAAGCUGUUGGGCUCAUAACUCAAAAAUAGACAUAGUUCUCCCUAUUA
rnacentral:tRNA from 1 species